UGCAAGUCGAGCGAAGCAAUUUAAGUGAAGUUUUCGGAUGGAUCUUAGAUUGACUGAGCGGCGGACGGGUGAGUAACGCGUGGAUAACCUGCCUCACACAGGGGGAUAACAGUUAGAAAUGACUGCUAAUACCGCAUAAGCGCACGGUACCGCAUGGUACAGUGCGAAAAACUCCGGUGGUGUGAGAUGGAUCCGCGUCUGAUUAGGUAGUUGGUGAGGUAACGGCCCACCAAGCCGACGAUCAGUAGCCGACCUGAGAGGGUGACCGGCCACAUUGGGACUGAGACACGGCCCAAACUCCUACGGGAGGCAGCAGUGGGGAAUAUUGCACAAUGGGCGAAAGCCUGAUGCAGCAACGCCGCGUGAGUGAAGAAGUAUCUCGGUAUGUAAAGCUCUAUCAGCAGGGAAGAAAAUGACGGUACCUGACUAAGAAGCCCCGGCUAACUACGUGCCAGCAGCCGCGGUAAUACGUAGGGGGCAAGCGUUAUCCGGAUUUACUGGGUGUAAAGGGAGCGCAGACGGCACUGCAAGUCUGAAGUGAAAGCCCGGGGCUCAACCCCGGGACUGCUUUGGAAACUGUAGAGCUAGAGUGCUGGAGAGGCAAGCGGAAUUCCUAGUGUAGCGGUGAAAUGCGUAGAUAUUAGGAAGAACACCAGUGGCGAAGGCGGCUUGCUGGACAGUAACUGACG
rnacentral:rRNA from 1 species